UUCUGUGUGUAUUAAUUUCAGUGUGGUAGUAAAAAACAAAAUUAGUACGAACAUUCUAGACUUAGUAAAAAGUUUGCAUCAUCAAGCUUUGUGCCAGCCAGCGUGUUCACUACGCGUACUUUGUGUCUUACCUGCUGACGUGACUCUUGAGAAGUGACACCGCGGAACCGCGCAGAUGCUGCUGGGGCUGCUGGCCCGCUAGGAUCUGCUGCUUCCUUAGCAGGGAACGUUGAACACUACCUACAUAUUACCAUAGAGAGGCUGAGGUUGUCGUGAGAAAAGGGGAGUGAGUGACCACCGCGAUGGCCAGGCACAGGAAGAUCACAAGGCCAUGGCACGAGAGCAAAUGUUAAUGGACAGCCACAGCAGCACACGAACUCAUGAACAUCCAUCAGGCCAGCAAGGGUUAGAGAGGAUGGAGAAGAGAGUUGGGCAUAGAGACACAAGGAAGGCCACCGCUGGGACUCUACGUGGACGAGGUGGACGAAGAAGAGGAAGUGGACGAGGUUGUAAGAUGGACGAUUUUGGUACUGGUGAGAUAAUGACUGUGUGUGUGUGUGUGUGUGUGUGUGUGUGUGUGUGUGUGUGUGUGUGUGUGUCGUCGUGCAUACCGGUCUGCUAUGUUAAUGAAAGUAAACACCAACUCAGAACUCAGCAAGGCAGUUACACGCAUCAUAACGCAUGCAGUGUAAUCUAUAAGGACCGUAUUCUGAGACGCUUCUUUCCGCUCCUCGACUGUAAUGUUUAAGUUUUUGUUGAUAUGUUAGUGUGGCACAAAAGUAGAAGUUCGCUUGGAGUUAGUACAUCUAAAAUCGCCGAGUUAUUUAUGUUGGCAUGUUUGGCAAGUAACAUUAGUCAUAGUUCACCGUCACAGUUGGAAAAAUAGCGAGGAAA